rnacentral:pre_miRNA from 1 species
AGCUGAACUCCGGGACUGGCCAGUGUUGAGAGGCGGAGACUUGGGCAAUUGCUGGACGCUGCCCUGGGCAUUGCACUUGUCUCGGUCUGACAGUGCCGGCCCAACACUGCGGAUGCUGGG